GUAGGUGGCAAGCGUUGUCCGGAAUUAUUGGGCGUAAAGCGCGCGCAGGCGGUCCUUUAAGUCUGGUGUGAAAGCCCACGGCUCAACCGUGGAGGGUCAUUGGAAACUGGGGGACUUGAGUACAGAAGAGGAAAGCGGAAUUCCAAGUGUAGCGGUGAAAUGCGUAGAGAUUUGGAGGAACACCAGUGGCGAAGGCGGCUUUCUGGUCUGUAACUGACGCUGAGGCGCGAAAGCGUGGGGAGCAAACAGGGAUUAGAUACCCUGGUAGUCCACGCCGUAAACGAUGAGUGCUAAGUGUUAGGGGGUUUCCCGCCCCUUAGUGCUGCAGCUAACGCAUUAAGCACUCCGCCUGGGGAUACGGCCGCAAGGCUG
rnacentral:rRNA from 1 species